CGCCUAUUAGCUCAGCUGGUUAGAGCGUGGUCCUAAUAAGGCCAAGGUCGCAGGUUCGAGACUUGCAUGGGCCA
rnacentral:tRNA from 3 species